UACAGGGGGUGCAAACGUUGCUCGGAAUCAUUGGGCGUAAAGCGCACGUAGGCGGUUUGUUAUGUCGGAUGUGAAAGCCCUUGGCUCAACUGAGGAAGUGCAUCCGAAACUGGCAAGCUAGAGUACUAAAGAGGGUCGCGGAAUUCCCGGUGUAGAGGUGAAAUUCGUAGAUAUCGGGAGGAACACCAGUGGCGAAGGCGGCUCUCUGGGCAGAUACUGACACUGAGACGCGAAAGCGUGGGUAGCAAACAGG
rnacentral:rRNA from 1 species